UGCCCGCCCCAGGCCCACUGCCCACCCUCCUUCUCCCACGCAGUACCCGCUGAUGCUGAAGUUGAUCUGCACCCAGGUUCUGCGAACCAAUCUCUGGCAUGCCUCUCUGCAAUCCCAGCCCUGCAGUUGCUAUCCCAGUCCUACAGUGAUUUCAGCUCCAGCUCCACGUCUUCCUACCACCAACAGCCAUUGGAGAAAACAGAAGAGGCAUCGUGUAGCACAGCGAGGCCAGAGUGAGUGAGCAGAGGAGUGGCCUCAGGCUGGAGAGGGGCAAGAGAAAGGCAAUGUGGGCAAAGGGACCUCCCUGUUUUCACCAGCUUCCUCCUGUAGAUAAAGAUUUACAUGUGGAUUCUGAGAACAUUUAAAACAUCAGAAGAGAAACCUCACCCAAACCCAGCAGUCUGUCCCCCAGUCAGAGAGCAGAAGUCACU